rnacentral:rRNA from 1 species
AACGUAGGUACCGAGCGUUAUCCGGAUUCACUGGGCGUAAAGCGCGUGCAGGUGGUUUGGUAAGUCGGGCAUGAAAACUCUUGGCUCAACUAAGAGACGCUGUCCGAUACUGCCGGACUUGAGGGUGUAAGAGGGGGGGUAGAAUUCCACGUGUAGCAGUGAAAUGCGUAGAGAUGUGGAGGAACACCGAUGGCGAAGGCAGCCCCCCUGGGUCAAGAUUGACGCUCAUGCACGAAAGCGUGGGGAGCAAACAGG